GUGCCUCUACUCAAGGCCUAGCAUUCGCGCUACCACUAUUUUAGAUCUCGCAGUGGUGUUGAGGUCCCGUGCUAUCGACCUGAGCAAUUCGUUGAGCCUCUCUUCACGGUAGUAGAAUCCCCCGCGUCAUUUUAUUUCUUUUUUUCUCCUCUUUGUGUGCCGCUAAAUGACACCAAACUCCAUCUCUGUCUCGUCCCCAACCAUGAUAAGUCCCUAGGUGAGCUAGUCUUCGCCUCUGAUUUGUCCUUGUGCCCUUAGUUAGUCUAACCAUGGCCUCUAGGGCCCUAUCUAUGUUCGC
rnacentral:lncRNA from 1 species